rnacentral:rRNA from 1 species
AAACCGGGGCUAAUGCCGGGUAAUACUUUUCUUCGCAUGAAGGAAAGUUGAAAGAUGGCUUCUCGCUAUCACUUACAGAUGGGCCCGCGGCGCAUUAGCUAGUUGGUGAGGUAACGGCUCACCAAGGCGACGAUGCGUAGCCGACCUGAGAGGGUGAUCGGCCACACUGGGACUGAGACACGGCCCAGACUCCUACGGGAGGCAGCAGUAGGGAAUCUUCCGCAAUGGACGAAAGUCUGACGGAGCAACGCCGCGUGAACGAUGAAGGUCUUCGGAUCGUAAAGUUCUGUUGUUAGGGAAGAACAAGUACCGUGCGAAUAGAGCGGUACCUUGACGGUACCUAACGAGGAAGCCCCGGCUAACUACGUGCCAGCAGCCGCGGUAAUACGUAGGGGGCAAGCGUUGUCCGGAAUUAUUGGGCGUAAAGCGCGCGCAGGCGGUUCCUUAAGUCUGAUGUGAAAGCCCACGGCUCAACCGUGGAGGGUCAUUGGAAACUGGGGAACUUGAGGACAGAAGAGGUGAGUGGAAUUCCGCGUGUAGCGGUGAAAUGCGUAGAUAUGUGGAGGAACACCAGUGGCGAAGGCGGCUCUCUGGUCUGUCUCUGACGCUGAGGUGCGAAAGCGUGGGUAGCAAACAGGAUUAGAUACCCUGGUAGUCCACACCGUAAACGAUGAGUGCUAGGUGUUAGGGGGCUUCCACCCCUUAGUGCUGAAGUUAACGCAUUAAGCACUCCGCCUGGGGAGUACGGCCGCAAGGCUGAAACUCAAAGGAAUUGACGGGGGCCCGCACAAGCGGUGGAGCAUGUGGUUUAAUUCGAUGCAACGCGAAGAACCUUACCAGGUCUUGACAUCCUUGGACAUCCCUAGAGAUAGGGCUUUCCCUUCGGGGACCAAGUGACAGGUGGUGCAUGGUUGUCGUCAGCUCGUGUCGUGAGAUGUUGGG